rnacentral:rRNA from 1 species
AAAUUGAAGAGUUUGAUCAUGGCUCAGAUUGAACGCUGGCGGCAGGCCUAACACAUGCAAGUCGAACGGUAACAGGAAGCAGCUUGCUGCUUUGUUGACGAGUGGCGGACGGGUGAGUAAUGUCUGGGAAACUGCCUGAUGGAGGGGGAUAACUACUGGAAACGGUGGCUAAUACCGCAUAACGUCGCAAGACCAAAGAGGGGGACCUUCGGGCCUCUUGCCAUCAGAUGUGCCCAGAUGGGAUUAGCUUGUUGGUGAGGUAACGGCUCACCAAGGCGACGAUCCCUAGCUGGUCUGAGAGGAUGACCAGCCACACUGGAACUGAGACACGGUCCAGACUCCUACGGGAGGCAGCAGUGGGGAAUAUUGCACAAUGGGCGCAAGCCUGAUGCAGCCAUGCUGCGUGUAUGAAGAAGGCCUUCGGGUUGUAAAGUACUUUCAGCGGGGAGGAAGGUGUUGUGGUUAAUAACCGCAGCAAUUGACGUUACCCGCAGAAGAAGCACCGGCUAACUCCGUGCCAGCAGCCGCGGUAAUACGGAGGGUGCAAGCGUUAAUCGGAAUUACUGGGCGUAAAGCGCACGCAGGCGGUCUGUCAAGUCGGAUGUGAAAUCCCCGGGCUCAACCUGGGAACUGCAUUCGAAACUGGCAGGCUUGAGUCUUGUAGAGGGGGGUAGAAUUCCAGGUGUAGCGGUGAAAUGCGUAGAGAUCUGGAGGAAUACCGGUGGCGAAGGCGGCCCCCUGGACAAAGACUGACGCUCAGGUGCGAAAGCGUGGGGAGCAAACAGGAUUAGAUACCCUGGUAGUCCACGCCGUAAACGAUGUCUACUUGGAGGUUGUGCCCUUGAGGCGUGGCUUCCGGAGCUAACGCGUUAAGUAGACCGCCUGGGGAGUACGGCCGCAAGGUUAAAACUCAAAUGAAUUGACGGGGGCCCGCACAAGCGGUGGAGCAUGUGGUUUAAUUCGAUGCAACGCGAAGAACCUUACCUGGUCUUGACAUCCACAGAACUUUCCAGAGAUGGAUUGGUGCCUUCGGGAACUGUGAGACAGGUGCUGCAUGGCUGUCGUCAGCUCGUGUUGUGAAAUGUUGGGUUAAGUCCCGCAACGAGCGCAACCCUUAUCCUUUGUUGCCAGCGAUUAGG